rnacentral:miRNA from 1 species
AACAACACCAUUGACCAGAAGGAAUCCCUCCUGGUUGAUAACAGCCUCAUCGACCGGAAGGGAUUCCUUCCGGUCAAUGGUGUUUUU